ACCUUUUUAGUAUAACUCAUUACAUCUACCUUCCAAGUAGAAAAUUUAUCCUAUAAAAAAGGUA
rnacentral:tRNA from 1 species